UACGGAGGAUCCGAGCGUUAUCCGGAUUUAUUGGGUUUAAAGGGUGCGUAGGCGGGAAAAUAAGUCAGUGGUGAAAUCCUACAGCUUAACUGUAGAAUUGCCGUUGAUACUGUUUUUCUUGAGUAUGGUCAAGGAAGGCGGAAUGUGUAAUGUAGCGGUGAAAUGCUUAGAUAUUACACAGAACACCAAUUGCGAAGGCAGCUUUCUGGCCCAUUACUGACGCUGAGGCACGAAAGCGUGGGGAUCGAACAGGAUUAGAUACCCGCGUAGUCCCU
rnacentral:rRNA from 1 species